UACGUAGGGGGCAAGCGUUGUCCGGAUUUAUUGGGCGUAAAGAGCGUGUAGGCGGCCUGAAAGGUCAGCUGUGAAAACUCGAGGCUCAACCUCGAGACGUCGGUUGAAACCAUCUGGCUAGAGUCCGGAAGAGGAGUGUGGAGUUCCCGGUGUAGCGGUGAAAUGCGCAGAUAUCGGGAAGAACACCCGUGGCGAAGGCGGUUCUCUGGGCAUUACCUGACGCUGAGGAGCGAAAGUGUGGGGAGCGAACAGG
rnacentral:rRNA from 1 species